UCCUAGGAUGACAUAAUUUGCGAUUGAGCUCGUCGUCGGAGACCCUCGCCGGGGUCUCUUAACGGCGUCGAGUUUAUGAUAUUCAAUUCUUACAUAUUCUGAGC
rfam:Pyrenophora teres f. teres 0-1 contig_004281, whole genome shotgun sequence.